rnacentral:rRNA from 1 species
CGCGGCCUAUCAGCUUGUUGGUGAGGUAAUGGCUCACCAAGGCUUCGACGGGUAGCCGGCCUGAGAGGGCGACCGGCCACACUGGGACUGAGAUACGGCCCAGACUCCUACGGGAGGCAGCAGUGGGGAAUAUUGCACAAUGGGCGCAAGCCUGAUGCAGCAACGCCGCGUGCGGGAUGACGGCCUUCGGGUUGUAAACCGCUUUCAGUAGGGACGAAGCUAACGUGACGGUACCUACAGAAGAAGGACCGGCUAACUACGUGCCGGCAGCCGCGGUGAUACGUAGGGUCCGAGCGUUGUCCGGAAUUAUUGGGCGUAAAGGGCUUGUAGGCGGUCCGUCGCGUCAGGAGUGAAAACUCGGGGCUUAACCCCGAGCCUGCUUUUGAUACGGGCGGACUAGAGGGAUGCAGGGGAGAACGGAAUUCCUGGUGGAGCGGUGGAAUGCGCAGAUAUCAGGAGGAACACCGGUGGCGAAGGCGGUUCUCUGGGCAUCACCCGACGCUGAGAAGCGAAAGCGUGGGGAGCAAACAGGCUUAGAUACCCUGGUAGUCCACGCCGUAAACGGUGGGCACUAGGUGUGGGGGACAUUCCACGUUCUCCGUGCCGAAGCUAACGCAUUAAGUGCCCCGCCUGGGGAGUACGG